GUUCAAUAAGCGCAAUGAUGUAGUCCAGCAUGUCUGCUGCACACUAAAAAUAGUAGAAAAAGAUGCUAGUUUGUACUUUUUUUAUUUUUAUUUUUUAGAAUGUUGCCAAUCGUUGGCAUACUGAUGAGAGUUCACGUUAAAGUAAACCAGUUGAGCCUGCUUUCUUGGCAAGGUCAUUGGGUUAUAAUAAACAACUGUACCUUUAAAGUUGUGCACACUAACAUUGGGGGACUUUUUUGUUUUCCAUAUAAACUCAUGUCAAGUGAAUUGAGGUUUGAUAGUCAAUCUGACAGCUGCUCACUGAGCUGACUUUUUUUGAUGAUGUAACAUCGACCUCCAAAUUUAGUUAGUUUUUUUUCUUCUUCCCCCCCAGAAGAUGUGCUGUUAGUCACAUUUCUGAUGGAUUGCACUUUCCAAGUUCCACUUAGUAUGCUAAACAGUUUCCUUAGAAACUGUUUGGAGUGUUUGUGUAUGAAAGUGUGACAAUAUUGACUUUUCAAAUGACCAAAAUCCUUCCUAAAAAAA